CGCGUAGGCGGCGGGUCAAGUCGGCUUGUGAAAGCCCGGGGCUCAACCCCGGAGGUGCGGCCGAGACUGAUCCGCUGGAGGCCGGAAGAGGAGGGUGGAAUACCCAGUGUAGAGGUGAAAUUCGUAGAUAUUGGGUGGAACACCGGUGGCGAAAGCGGCUCUCUGGUCCGGACCUGACGCUGAGGCGCGAAAGCGUGGGGAGCAAACA
rnacentral:rRNA from 1 species